rnacentral:rRNA from 1 species
AGCAGCAGCCACGGUAAUACAGAGGGUGCGAGCGUUAAUCGGAUUUACUGGGCGUAAAGCGUGCGUAGGCGGCUUCUUAAGUCGGAUGUGAAAUCCCUGAGCUUAACUUAGGAAUUGCAUUCGAUACUGGGAAGCUAGAGUAUGGGAGAGGAUGGUAGAAUUCCAGGUGUAGCGGUGAAAUGCGUAGAGAUCUGGAGGAAUACCGGUGGCGAAGGCGGCCCCCUGGACAAAGACUGACGCUCAGGUGCGAAAGCGUGGGGAGCAAACAGGAUUAGAUACCCGUGUAGUCCCUGUCUCUUAUAC